rnacentral:rRNA from 1 species
ACCGCACAAGCGGUGGAUGAUGUGGUUUAAUUCGAUGCAACGCGAAAAACCUUACCCACCUUUGACAUGGCAGGAAUCCUAAAGAGAUUUGGGAGUGCUCGAAAGAGAACCUGCACACAGGUGCUGCAUGGCUGUCGUCAGCUCGUGUCGUGAGAUGUUGGGUUAAGUCCCGCAACGAGCGCAACCCUUGCCAUUAGUUGCUACGAAAGGGCACUCUAAUGGGACUGCCGGUGACAAACCGGAGGAAGGUGGGGAUGACGUCAAAUCAUCAUGCCCCUUAUGACCUGGGCUACACACGUGCUACAAUGGUUGGUACAACGAGUUGCGAGUCGGUGACGGCGAGCUAAUCUCUUAAAGCCAAUCUCAGUUCGGAUUGUAGGCUGCAACUCGCCUACAUGAAGUCGGAAUCGCUAGUAAUCGCGGAUCAGCACGCCGCGGUGAAUACGUUCCCGGGCCUU